rnacentral:rRNA from 1 species
CCUACGGGGGGCAGCAGUGAGGAAUAUUGGUCAAUGGGCGAGAGCCUGAACCAGCCAAGUCGCGUGAAGGAUGACGGCCCUACGGGUUGUAAACUUCUUUUGUAAGGGAGCAAUUGAGUCCACGUGUGGUCUUAGCGAGAGUACCUGAAGAAAAAGCAUCGGCUAACUACGUGCCAGCAGCCGCGGUAAUACGGAGGAUGCGAGCGUUAUCCGGAUUUGUUGGGUUUAAAGGGUGCGUAGGCGGAAUAUCAAGUCAGCGGUAAAAAUUCGGGGCUCAACCCCGUCGUGCCGUUGAAACUGAUGUUCUUGAGUGGGCGAGAAGGAUACGGGAUGCGUGGUGUAGCGGUGAAAUGCAGAGAUAUCACGCAGAACUACGAUUGCGAAGGCAGCAUAACGGCGCCCAACUGACGCUGAAGCACGAAAGCGUGGGUAUCGAACAGGAUUAGAUACCCGUGUAGUC